CAUCCCUAUUAGCUGUAAAAGCAUGCUUACUGCUUAAUAAAUUGAACGUGUUUGAAGAUGUAAAAAUUUACUAGCAGUAUAACAAGCAAAGCAAUGGCAUUUGGGAAUUCUUGUUCUACACUGACAAAAAUUUGGUGUGGAAAGAUCUGUAAAACAACUUACCUGAGGUAAUUCAUCAUGGCAGUGAUAAAAACAACAGUGACAGCAAUCAAGUCCGACAGUCCCUUUCCAUGUCUGUUCCCUACAGGACAUAAACAGAAAAACUUAUUACCAAAGGUAUUCACAGGUAGAGCAAUUAUUAUUACUUCAGGAACUGCUGAAUGAAUGUUUACAAAUUUCUCUUAAUUGGUGUCUUAAUAUUAGUAUACUCCUUAUUCCCUAUUAAAAUUUUGCAGAGCAACUGGUAGCUUAAACUUUAAAGAACUGACAGAACUCAGAAAUUACAUAUGUUGUAACGUAGAUAUAUUAAUAGUGAGAUAGAUACGUACAGAAGUUUUAGUAUUUUCAAAUAGUCUGAAAAAGUAAGAUGCCAUAACAUACUUUAGUACUGAUACAACACUCAAAAUGUAUGAACGUUAUUACAACAAACAGUUCUGACUCUUUUAAAAAUCUGUCAGCUGUUUAAAACGUGCUGAUUCUGUGCUACAGAAAAUAGUUAAAUCCGCAUGACACAAAAUAAAGCAGACAAACAUCUCCAGAGGAUGUGGUAUCAGUUGCCCUGUUCUGCUCUUGUGGUCUGUCCAUGUGCGCUCUACAGCACGGCAGGGCUCUGCAGCAAGUGCUUGCUGUCCUGGGAUUUCAGAAUAGGACACUGCUGCUCUCACUUACAGAUGAGAAGCACACUGACCCUACUGCAAUUAAAGGCUCACUUACAGAUGAGAAGCACACUGGCCCUGCUGCAAUUAAAGGUAGAUUCUAAGUCAGAAUCUAGCUUCUGCAGUAAACUGGAGUUACAUGUGGAGUAGCAGAGUGACUUUACUUAAGCACUACAAGCAGAUACCUGGCUAAAAUCAAAUAUGGCCUGAAGAGAAAAACUGAGAGGUAGAGCGAGAGAGGAAGGAAGAUAAAUGAAGGAAGGAGGAAGACUUGCAUCAGUGAAAACUGGUCAUUGUAACCCAUAUAUUUAAAAGAAGAAAACACAGGAGCCAGACGAGAAAACAUCCAAAAGAGGAACCAGAAGCCAAACACUCUGUGUAAUAAGGCCCAAAAUACCAACGCAGAGCUUGUGUGUCAGGGCCUCGCUGCUGCCAGACCCACACAUUAGGGGCCCACUGCUCCAUGGCAGAGCAUGUGGCAGCAGCUGCUGUGCCGGACCCAGCAGAGGCUCUGACACUGCCUCGUUCUGUACUUCUGCAGCACAAGGGCUGCAUUUCAUUUCCACUUAAAUGCCGAGCGAGGGGUUUCACUGGAAUUGUUACAACUACUAGCAGGCACGAGGAUAGCAGGAUUUACUGUGAACAGCCUGUGAAGACCAAAACAACAGUUGUUUUGUUUCAUUUAAAAAGCUGUUAGUUUUUUCAGCUCCAAGGAAAUUAAAGAGAUGGCAAGAAAUGAGAUUGUACAGAUUGCCCAAACUGGUGUUAAUUACUUUUUAAUCACUGAAAAUUAAAUUAGGCUUG
ensembl:lncRNA